AACCAAAAGGCGCAAUGAAAGUGAAGGCACGGUCGCCGUGCUGAGGUGAGAGCCGUCACGGACGGCGCAUCAUCGACCGAUCCCAUCCGCUCCCCCGUGGUGCGGCGGGAUUCGAGUAARAGUGUACCUGUUGCGACCCGAAAGAUGGUGAACUAUGCCUGAAUAGGGUGAAGCCAGAGGAAACUCUGGUGGAGGCCCGUAGCGAUUCUGACGUGCAAAUCGAUCGUCAAAUUUGGGUAUAGGGGCGAAAGACUAAUCGAACCAUCUAGUAGCUGGUUCCCUCCGAAGUUUCCCUCAGGAUAGCUGUAGCCCGAAGCAGUUUUAUCAGGUAAAGCGAAUGAUUAGAGGUAUCGGGGAAGAAACUUCCUCGACCUAUUCUCAAACUUUAAAUAGGUAAGAAGUCCGACUUGCUCAAUUUGAAGCCGGACACAGAAUGCUGGGUUACUAGUGGGCCAUUUUUGGUAAGCAGAACUGGCGAUGCGGGAUGAACCGAACGCCGAGUUAAGGUGCCAAAGUCGACGCUCAUCAGAUCCCACAAA
rnacentral:rRNA from 1 species